rnacentral:rRNA from 1 species
GGGAAUGCAGCAGCUACACAUGCAGUCGAGCGGUAGCACAGAGAGCUUGCUCUCGGGUGACGAGCGGCGGACGGGUGAGUAAUGUCUGGGAAACUGCCUGAUGGAGGGGGAUAACUACUGGAAACGGUAGCUAAUACCGCAUAACGUCGCAAGACCAAAGUGGGGGACCUUCGGGCCUCAUGCCAUCAGAUGUGCCCAGAUGGGAUUAGCUAGUAGGUGGGGUAACGGCUCACCUAGGCGACGAUCCCUAGCUGGUCUGAGAGGAUGACCAGCCACACUGGAACUGAGACACGGUCCAGACUCCUACGGGAGGCAGCAGUGGGGAAUAUUGCACAAUGGGCGCAAGCCUGAUGCAGCCAUGCCGCGUGUAUGAAGAAGGCCUUCGGGUUGUAAAGUACUUUCAGCGGGGAGGAAGGCGAUAAGGUUAAUAACCUUGUCGAUUGACGUUACCCGCAGAAGAAGCACCGGCUAACUCCGUGCCAGCAGCCGCGGUAAUACGGAGGGUGCAAGCGUUAAUCGGAAUUACUGGGCGUAAAGCGCACGCAGGCGGUCUGUCAAGUCGGAUGUGAAAUCCCCGGGCUCAACCUGGGAACUGCAUUCGAAACUGGCAGGCUAGAGUCUUGUAGAGGGGGGUAGAAUUCCAGGUGUAGCGGUGAAAUGCGUAGAGAUCUGGAGGAAUACCGGUGGCGAAGGCGGCCCCCUGGACAAAGACUGACGCUCAGGUGCGAAAGCGUGGGGAGCAAACAGGAUUAGAUACCCUGGUAGUCCACGCCGUAAACGAUGUCGAUUUGGAGGUUGUGCCCUUGAGGCGUGGCUUCCGGAGCUAACGCGUUAAAUCGACCGCCUGGGGAGUACGGCCGCAAGGUUAAAACUCAAAUGAAUUGACGGGGGCCCGCACAAGCGGUGGAGCAUGUGGUUUAAUUCGAUGCAACGCGAAGAACCUUACCUGGUCUUGACAUCCACAGAACUUGCAGAGAUGGCUUUGUGCCUUCGGGAACUGUGAGACAGGUGCUGCAUGGCUGUCGUCAGCUCGUGUUGUGAAAUGUUUGGGUUAAGU